rnacentral:rRNA from 1 species
CCUACGGGAGGCAGCAGUGAGGAAUAUUGGUCAAUGGACGAGAGUCUGAACCAGCCAAGUAGCGUGAAGGAUGACUGCCCUAUGGGUUGUAAACUUCUUUUAUAUGGGAAUAAAAUGUUCCACGUGUGGGAUUUUGUAUGUACCAUAUGAAUAAGGAUCGGCUAACUCCGUGCCAGCAGCCGCGGUAAUACGGAGGAUCCGAGCGUUAUCCGGAUUUAUUGGGUUUAAAGGGAGCGUAGGUGGAUUGUUAAGUCAGUUGUGAAAGUUUGCGGCUCAACCGUAAAAUUGCAGUUGAAACUGGCAGUCUGGAGUACAGUAGAGGUGGGCGGAAUUCGUGGUGUAGCGGUGAAAUGCUUAGAUAUCACGAAGAACUCCGAUUGCGAAGGCAGCUCACUGGACUGCAACCGACACUGAGGCUCGAAAGUGUGGGUAUCAAACAGGAUUAGAUACCCCAGUAGUC